rnacentral:rRNA from 1 species
AAGUAGAAUUUGAAUUUUGAAAGUAAUAUUAUUGUUAAUAUAAAUAAUUUUGAAUCUAUAAAAAUUCGGGUUUAAACCAGGAUUAGAUACCCUGUUAUACCGAUAUUAAAAUUAACGUCGCUUGAGCAGUAACAGCUAUGAUCUCUAAACUUAAAGGAUUUGGCAGUACUCAAGCCUGGUUAGAGGAACCUGUAGAGUAAACGAUAUAACACGCAAAAUCUUACUUUACUUUGUAUUCAGUUUGUAUACCGCCAUUAUCAGAUAAUUUUUAUAAAUAUUUAUUAAAAUAUUGUUUGUUAGUAUAUUAGGUCAAGGUGCAGUUAAUAGUAAAGUUCUUAUGGGUUACAAUAUAUUUAAUAUAUUAUGAAUUCCCAGUUGAAACAGUGGGUUAAAGGUGGAUUUAAUUGUAAUUUAGUUUUAAUAUGAUUAAAUGAUAAAGCUCUUGAAGUAUGUACACAUCGCCCGUCGCUCUCGUAUUAAAACGAG